rnacentral:rRNA from 1 species
UACGGAGGGUGCAAGCGUUAUCCGGAUUCACUGGGUUUAAAGGGUGCGUAGGUGGGCAGGUAAGUCAGUGGUGAAAUCUCCGGGCUUAACCCGGAAACUGCCAUUGAUACUAUCUGUCUUGAAUACCGUGGAGGUGAGCGGAAUAUGUCAUGUAGCGGUGAAAUGCUUAGAUAUGACAUAGAACACCAAUGGCGAAAGCGGCUUCCUGGUCCAGCACCGACGUUCAGGCACGAAAGCGUGGGGAGCAAACAGG